GCUGGCUUCAAGAGGCCUUGCACUCAAUCUCUUUGAACAUGUUCAACUAUCCAGGUAAAACAGAACAAGCUGCUGCCUUUGAGGGGCCUGAGGCACGGGUGAGCAUGUGAAAUUAGGCCUCGUUAUUAUAGUCAGCAAUGGUGAUGGAAACAGAGUCCACAGGAAACUCGGAACAGAAUGAGCUGCUGUCAAUGGAAAUGCUUUCCAAGAUACGUCUCUCUGAUCCUCAUGGUGACCACUGUCAUGGCGACUGUAGACACACAGCAUUCAGUACCUCCUAUGCUCCUGUAUCCAGGGCUUUGCCAUUGCUGUACAGGCCAUCGACGGGACUCCAACCAUACAAACAGAUCAAAGUGCUGGGACAGUGACAGACCUGGAAAGACUUCUGUCA